rnacentral:lncRNA from 1 species
AAGCGCUCGGCCUAGGUGAGGUAAGGGAGCCAGCGAGUUGGGCAUUGCCCUUUCUGUCUUCCUUGGUUCCUCAGCCCAAGCUUGUCCCGAAGGCCUCAAUCAACAAAAGGCAUUUGUAAAGGCCUUUCCUAAGAGCUACGAAACCCGAAAACUCGACAUUCUGCAAGCUGGGCAGGACUCGUAUUGUCCGUGUUUUCCGGAGACCCGG